GCCUAGGAAUCUGCCUGGUAGUGGGGGAUAACGCUCGGAAACGGACGCUAAUACCGCAUACGUCCUACGGGAGAAAGCAGGGGACCUUCGGGCCUUGCGCUAUCAGAUGAGCCUAGGUCGGAUUAGCUAGUUGGUGAGGUAAUGGCUCACCAAGGCGACGAUCCGUAACUGGUCUGAGAGGAUGAUCAGUCACACUGGAACUGAGACACGGUCCAGACUCCUACGGGAGGCAGCAGUGGGGAAUAUUGGACAAUGGGCGAAAGCCUGAUCCAGCCAUGCCGCGUGUGUGAAGAAGGUCUUCGGAUUGUAAAGCACUUUAAGUUGGGAGGAAGGGCAUUAACCUAAUACGUUAGUGUUUUGACGUUACCGACAGAAUAAGCACCGGCUAACUCUGUGCCAGCAGCCGCGGUAAUACAGAGGGUGCAAGCGUUAAUCGGAAUUACUGGGCGUAAAGCGCGCGUACGUGGUUCGUUAAGUUGCAUGUGAAAUCCCCGGGCUCAACCUGGGAACUGCAUUCAAAACUGUCGAGCUAGAGUAUGGGUAGAGGGUGGUGGAAUUUCCUGUGUAGCGGUGAAAUGCGU
rnacentral:rRNA from 1 species